CCUCAUCUGUGCCUGAUUGGCACACCUGGUUACAGGUGUGCCAAUCAGCCUGCUACUCCUGCCUGCCGCUCAGUGCUGCAGGACUGACUGUCUUCACCAUGACUGCUUCUUCUUCUUGGUGUCUAGGGGUGAGAGUCUGUGGCCGCCUCACCGUCGGCAAACACUCCAAAUGAUGCGCAGGAAGCAGGAAGCAUGCAGGCUUUGGAAGUCACGCACUGCCCCCUGCUGGCGGGGAGAGGGAGGCCACAAACAGUCUGCUGGAGAGGUCGCGCCACCGCUGACCUCCAGGAGUACUCACUCCUACAUAAAUAUAUCAACCUUUUUGAAAAUAUCAACAAAAGGGAUUUUUUUGUUUUCACAUGUUAAGGUGGUAUUAUUAAAUAAGUGUGUAAUUGUUUUGUUGGUAUUAUUAAAUAAUUGUAUAUUUUUUUGUGAAUACAUGUAUAAUUGUUUUGUUGUUAAAUGUUAAGGUGGUGUUAUUAAAUAAGUGUAAUUGUGUUGUUGGUAUUAUUAAAUAAGUGUAUAAUUGUUUUUGUUGUCAAAUGUUAAGGUGGUAUUAUUAAAUAAGUGUGUAAUUGUUUUGUUGGUAUUAAUAAAUAAGUUUAUAAUUGUUAGAUUGUAAAAUGUU